ensembl:lncRNA
UGAAGGGUUUCUGAUGGUCAUUUCUAUCUCUUUGAAGACAUCCUUGGCAUCCAAGUCCUCGGAACAGUAGCAUUUACCACUUUGGUUUUGAGGCUGCAUCUGGAGCGCGCUGUGGAUCUUUUACAGUCUGUGCAAUCACACAUCACUGCACAGCUCACAAAACCAGCUGCCACGGUUCGGCAUUCACAGCACAACUCUGACCCUAACUCAGCUCCUCAUAUUGACAAGCCAUCGGCUUCGGGGCGUAUUAGCUACAAUAAUGCUCACUUUUUGCCUACUGUAGCCAAGAAAGCGAUGCAUUGCCAGCCACGUGAUUGCCUUUGUCCUAUCCAGAGGGAGACUAGCCUUCAGAAAUGCUGCAAAAAGGAAAUGACAUUCAGAGUCCAACCUGGCUCUUUCUCCCUCACUGCCAGCUUCCACUCAUGAGUCAGGAGACUUCAGUUCUUCACACCCAGAGCUGACUGUGGGGUGGCCAAAGUCACUUCUCCACCAUCUCCAUUUUGGAUGCUACUAGGAUGAACUGGAAUCAAAACUAAAAGCAAGACGUUCACCAACAGUUAACUUGUAUUUAAUAGAAAACUGGACAGGAUCGUAUCCCCAGCUUGCUUGCUUUCUUCUUUCUUUCUUUCUUUCUUUCUUUCUUUCUUUCUUUCUUUCUUUCUUUCUUUCUUUCUUUCUUUCUUUCUCUCUCUCUUUCUUUCUUUCUUUCUUUCUCUCUCUCUUUCUUUCUUUCUUUCUUUCUCUCUUUCUCUCUCUCUUUCUCUCUUUCUUUCUCUCUUUCUUUCUUUCUUUCUUUCUUUCUUUCUUUUCUUUCUUUCUUUCUUUCUCUCUCUCUUUCUUUCUUUCUUUCUUUCUCUCUCUCUUUCUUUCUUUCUUUCUUUCUCUCUU